UCUAGAACUGCACGUUAUGUGCCCUCCAAGAAAAUAAGUGGUAACUAUUAACUAUUCAGAACUUCUCUCUUGAUUGGGGUAGAAAUUUUGACAACUAACCUUAGGCUUCAAAGCCUUCCUUCAAACCCCUGUACACCAUGGGGAGUACUGGGACAGUUUGGUGACUAAAAUGGAAUCCAAAUGUUUAGGUUUCAAAACAGGUAUCUAAAUGCAGUCAGUUAAUAAGUUACCAUCAUUAUUUAUUUGCAUUUCAUCUUGCCCUUGUCUUGGCUUAGGCUUCUCUUAAUUUCACUCAGAAUUCACAGCCUAGAAACGUCUCUUUGUAGGUUAUUCUCAAACUUGUUUUUGAAGGAAGAAUGGAAAUCUGCUUUUUAUUUAAAAGCCCUUCUCGACAAGGCUGCCUGUCCAGCAGGUGGGGGAAUUACAUCCUAAACCUGAAGAGAGACUGAACCAGAAAGAUGUGGGCUGUCUUGGAGAGUGGGCACUCUGCCUCUUUUGUUUGGAAGCUGCGCCAGCCUGCAGGGUGGAAAAAAAUGCAUUGUUCAGUAAACCCAAGUGUGAUCGUCAGAAGUGCCUGCAGAUGUACCCCGUGUGCGUGCAACCAGCCAGCAGAACUGCCAGGAGCUGUGUGGCCAGUGACCAGAUUCCCCAGUUGCCGAAGAGGCCAGCUGCUGGCACCCCCCAGACAAGGACAGCCCAGGUCAGCGUGGAAGCAGACCUCCAGGGCCCGAAGAAACACCUGUGGGCAGCAGGCAGGUGUUGCAAAUUCCAGUUUAGGUAUCACAGAAAGAGGGUGUUUCACUUAUUGAUAAAUAGUUUGAAUAUCUUAAAUCAUUCUAAGGUCUCCUCUAGAGUGGGUUACAGUUAGAAAACUUGGUGUUACUUAAUUUCUUCUCCAAUUAGUAUGGGUAAGGGGAAAUAUGAACUGCAUAAAAUAGAUAUGCAAACACUCUUACCUGUCAGAGAUGUGGUAAGAUUUAUCUGUGACAUGUUUUACUACACAGACAAUGACAAGGUUUACAUACUAGCUACACUUUUUCAUAUCUUGCAAAUCCUGAAAAUAUGUAACAAACAAGUCUUAAAAUAAGAAUCGUGGAAGAGGGAUUUCUGUUUCACAAACAAAUUAUUUACAGACAAAUAUUUCAUAUAAUGCUGUUAACUUAUAUUAACUGUCUUAGCAAACAGCAUUACUACAUCCUUUCUCCAUUUGCAGUUCACUUACCUGUUCCUUAUGUCCUUGUGUUUGGCUACUAGGAAUGCCUGUUUUAAGAGUUCAAUGUAAUCUUGAGCUAUUUACAUGUCAGAAAAUCCCAAUACCAAUCUGCCAACUUUUCAUGAAAUUGUACUGCAAAUAGGUGGACUUUCAGCUUAGAAGUGGUGGAAUUCAGAACUAUUAGUUUCAUAGGUGCUAAGAAGUGCAGAAGAUGCAUAUUUUUGUGACAAUUUUUUUGGCAUUGAUUGACGGUUCAAUUUUCUGUUCUAAAUAUAUAGUUGUAUAAAUAUAGUCAAAAUGGCAUUAUUCCGUAUGUUCCAACUUUGGUAAAUUAACCUGUUUUGGUAUUCUUAUGAAAGCUGUAAG
rnacentral:lncRNA from 1 species